rnacentral:rRNA from 1 species
AAGUCGAACGAACUCUGGUAUUGAUUGGUGCUUGCAUCAUGAUUUACAUUUGAGUGAGUGGCGAACUGGUGAGUAACACGUGGGAAACCUGCCCAGAAGCGGGGGAUAACACCUGGAAACAGAUGCUAAUACCGCAUAACAACUUGGACCGCAUGGUCCGAGUUUGAAAGAUGGCUUCGGCUAUCACUUUUGGAUGGUCCCGCGGCGUAUUAGCUAGAUGGUGGGGUAAUGGCUCACCAUGGCAAUGAUACGUAGCCGACCUGAGAGGGUAAUCGGCCACAUUGGGACUGAGACACGGCCCAAACUCCUACGGGAGGCAGCAGUAGGGAAUCUUCCACAAUGGACGAAAGUCUGAUGGAGCAACGCCGCGUGAGUGAAGAAGGGUUUCGGCUCGUAAAACUCUGUUGUUAAAGAAGAACAUAUCUGAGAGUAACUGUUCAGGUAUUGACGGUAUUUAACCAGAAAGCCACGGCUAACUACGUGCCAGCAGCCGCGGUAAUACGUAGGUGGCAAGCGUUGUCCGGAUUUAUUGGGCGUAAAGCGAGCGCAGGCGGUUUUUUAAGUCUGAUGUGAAAGCCUUCGGCUCAACCGAAGAAGUGCAUCGGAAACUGGGAAACUUGAGUGCAGAAGAGGACAGUGGAACUCCAUGUGUAGCGGUGAAAUGCGUAGAUAUAUGGAAGAACACCAGUGGCGAAGGCGGCUGUCUGGUCUGUAACUGACGCUGAGGCUCGAAAGUAUGGGUAGCAAACAGGAUUAGAUACCCUGGUAGUCCAUACCGUAAACGAUGAAUGCUAAGUGUUGGAGGGUUUCCGCCCUUCAGUGCUGCAGCUAACGCAUUAAGCAUUCCGCCUGGGGAGUACGGCCGCAAGGCUGAAACUCAAAGGAAUUGACGGGGGCCCGCACAAGCGGUGGAGCAUGUGGUUUAAUUCGAAGCUACGCGAAGAACCUUACCAGGUCUUGACAUACUAUGCAAAUCUAAGAGAUUAGACGUUCCCUUCGGGGACAUGGAUACAGGUGGUGCAUGGUUGUCGUCAGCUCGUGUCGUGAGAUGUUGGGUUAAGUCCCGCAACGAGCGCAACCCUUAUUAUCAGUUGCCAGCAUUAAGUUGGGCACUCUGGUGAGACUGCCGGUGACAAACCGGAGGAAGGUGGGGAUGACGUCAAAUCAUCAUGCCCCUUAUGACCUGGGCUACACACGUGCUACAAUGGAUGGUACAACGAGUUGCGAACUCGCGAGAGUAAGCUAAUCUCUUAAAGCCAUUCUCAGUUCGGAUUGUAGGCUGCAACUCGCCUACAUGAAGUCGGAAUCGCUAGUAAUCGCGGAUCAGCAUGCCGCGGUGAAUACGUUCCCGGGCCUUGUACACACCGCCCGUCACACCAUGAGAGUUUGUAACACCCAAAGUCGGUGGGGUAACCUUUUAGGAACCA